GCUGGAUUCGCUAGUAAUCGCGCAUCAGCCACGGCGCGGUGAAUACGUUCCCGGGCCUUGUACACACCGCCCGUCAAGCCAUGGAAGCCGGGAGUGCCUGAAGUGUGCAACCGCAAGGAGCGCCCUAAGGUAAAACCGGUGACUGGGGCUAAGUCGUAACAAGGUACC
rnacentral:rRNA from 1 species